rnacentral:siRNA from 1 species
UGAGGUGAGCUGAGCUGAGCGAGC